AUCCCUGUAACACAAUGGAUAGUGCGUUGGACUUCUCAUCCAAGGGUCGUCGUUUCGAAACCUACCGGGGAUG